CUUGCUUGUAGCAACUUUCGACAUUAUCAUUUUCAUAGAGGGAGAGAGAGUAAGAAAAGCCAAAGAAUAACUUUUAUAAAGUAGUUGCCGAACUAGAAUUGACUGCGGCAACAGUGGAGACUGACUAACAACAAAAAAUAUGGCUAGAUGAACAUUGUAAAAAACUUGGUGUGCUGGCAGUAACUGACAAUCCACAAGCUCUCUAUACUGUGAACAAAUGGAAAUGCAAAGACUUCAAACCUACGCGCAUUAGUACAGUUGAGUGCCACAGACUAUGCCCACGUACUUGGCUGGGCACCCAGAGAACAUUGGUAAUGCGGAACAAGUGCGACUACAUCGGAUUAACCCUACGAAUAACCUGUGAUUGUUUGAACCGCGUAAAAUAAUAUGUAUCUUCUAACAUAUGUUAGAAUAGUCGAGACAAUGCACAACUGAUAAAUACUGAAAUGAUAGAAGUCGAGCUUUAUAGUAGUUUGGCAUAUGUUAUCUAUAAGUAAAUAUAAUAGAAACUGUUCACGUAUGUUUGUGUAACACAUAGCUGUAUAGAGUAGACUAUUUUAUUACUAACAUUAUUGUAUAUCUUAUUUAUUGAUAAUCACUGUCCGAUUUAUGCAACUAUUUAGUUAACAGACUUUCAAAGUUAUACAUUGUUUUAUUUUAGUGAAACGUACCUAUUUUACGAUUGUAGUAAUCGGAACCUAGGCUUGAUUCAAGUAUAGUGAGAUUAACUUUUUUCAUAGGUAAUCAUUUAUGAAAUCAAUGAAUUUUUAAUAAUAUACUUGAUUGUGUUAAAGCUUUUCCAGAAGUGUUGUUGGUUUGUAUUUUUUUUUUUGCCAAUUUCAUGGGAUCUGACUCAUGAAAUAACA